UCUUUUUGAUAAUAAUUUAAAGUCUAAUCUGCCCACUGAUAUAUAAAUUAAAGGGCCGCGGUAUUUUGACCGUGCAAAGGUAGCAUAAUCAUUAGUCUUUUAAUUGAGGGCUAGAAUGAACGAUUGAACGAAGUAUUACUGUCUCAAUUUAAUUGGGUAUAGAAUUUAUCUUUUAAGUUAAAAGACUUAAAUAAAUUUAAAGGACGAGAAGACCCUAUAGAGCUUUAUAUUUUAAAAAUAAUUAUGUAUAGAAAUAGUUAAAUUUUAUUUAUAAAAAUAUUUUGUUGGGGUGACAGGAAAAUUUAAUAAACUUUUUUUAUAUAUUUAAACAAUAAUUUUUGAAAAAUUGAUCCAUUUUUAGUGAUUAUAAGAUUAAGUUACCUUAGGGAUAACAGCGUAAUUUUUUUUAAGAGUUCUUAUCGACAAAAAAGAUUGCGACCUCGAUGUUGGAUUAAGGGUAAUUUUUAGGUGUAGAAGUUUAAAGUUUAGGUCUGUUCGACCUUUGAAUCCUUACAUGAUCUGAGUUCAAACCG
rnacentral:rRNA from 1 species